rnacentral:rRNA from 1 species
UACGUAGGGAGCAAGCGUUGUCCGGAAUCAUUGGGCGUAAAGCGCGCGUAGGUGGCCCCGUAAGUCCGCUGUGAAAGUCAAAGGCUCAACCUUUGAAAGCCGGUGGAUACUGUGGGGCUAGAGUACGGAAGAGGCGAGUGGAAUUCCUGGUGUAGCGGUGGAAUGCGCAGAUAUCAGGAGGAACACCGGUGGCGAAGGCGGUUCUCUGGGCCUUACCUGACGCUGAGGAGCGAAAGCGUGGGGAGCGAACAGG